GAUGAACGCUGGCGGCGUGCCUAAUACAUGCAAGUCGAGCGAACGGACGAGAAGCUUGCUUUUCUGAUGUUAGCGGCGGACGGGUGAGUAACACGUGGAUAACCUACCUAUAAGACUGGGAUAACUUCGGGAAACCGGAGCUAAUACCGGAUAAUAUUUUGAACCGCAUGGUUCAAAAGUGAAAGACGGUCUUGCUGUCACUUAUAGAUGGAUCCGCGCUGCAUUAGCUAGUUGGUAAGGUAACGGCUUACCAAGGCAACGAUGCAUAGCCGACCUGAGAGGGGGAUCGGCCACACUGGAACUGAGACACGGUCCAGAAUCCUACGGGAGGCAGCAGUAGGGAAUAUUCCGCAAUGGGCGAAAGCCUGACGGAGCAACGCCGCGUGAGUGAUGAAGGUCUUCGGAUCGUAAAACUCUGUUAUUAGGGAAGAACAUAUGUGUAAGUAACUGUGCACAUCUUGACGGUACCUAAUCAGAAAGCCACGGCUAACUACGUG
rnacentral:rRNA from 1 species